CCAUGGUAUAUGGGGUUUCGGGAGUGGUUCCUUUAUUUACGAAGUCUAUGGUGCUAAGAUAAUACUGAUGUUUCGCAAAGUUCUCCCAAGUCACGGCAUCCUUACUCAAAACAUGUCUUUAAAACCUGAAAACUUUCGGAAUAACACUAUUUUCUUUUGCAAAAAAAAUUUGGUGGGGCUAAAGGUAUGGGGAGGUAGGAUUGUACUAAAGAUCUACUAUAUUUGGUAACUCGUCAAACUCAAGCAUUAUACUAAAAAGCAAAAUAAACAACUAAAAGGAAAUAAACUAUAUAAAAAAAGCAAAGAAAAAGCGAUAAAGGAAAAGAAAUGAGAAAGGUAAUAAAGAAAAGACGAUAGAG
rnacentral:lncRNA from 1 species